rnacentral:rRNA from 1 species
UACGUGAGGGGCAAGCGUUGUCCGGAUUUAUUGGGCGUAAAGAGCGUGUAGGCGGCUAGGUAGGUCCGUUGUGAAAACUCGAGGCUCAACCUCGAGACGCCGAUGGAAACCAUCUAGCUAGAGUCCGGAAGAGGAGAGUGGAAUUCCUGGAUGUAGCGGUGAAAUGCGCAGAUAUCAGGAAGAACACCCGUGGCUAAGGCGGCUCUCUAGUACGGUACUGACGCUGAGACGCGAAAGCGUGGGGAGCGAACAGG